UUCAAUCAUGGGGAGUUGGUACAUGUACAUAAUACAUCUUACUUAUUUUUACUUCUCCUCCAAGAGAUAAAACUUUGAAGGGGAAUAGAGAGAAGAUUUUGGGAAUUUAGAGUGAUCUCAACAUAAUGCUGAUUCGUUCUUUACAAGUUACUUCUUCAAAGGAUUAAAACAGACUUUUUAUUAUGCCUGCACAGGUAAUACAGUGUUGUAGCAAAAGCUGAAGAACAGGAAUGUUGGGGAACCCUGUGGGUGAACGAGACAACCUUGGUCCUGGGAGAUGAGCUGAGAAAAAGGGAGAGUCAGACCAAGAAAGGUACUCUGGAGACUGGCAUAUGGAUGAAGUAUCUUUUGCCUAAGAGUGCAGGCAACACCCUGGCCUCCCCACUCUGCUGAAGGACACCUUCCUAUCUGCAGAAUGACAUGGAGGGAGAGGACACUGUGGCCUCUCCACGCUGCUGAAGGAUGCCUUCAUAUCUGUACGAUGACUUACAGGUGUGUAGAGUCAACAGGGCUUUAAGAAAAGAACAUGAAGAGAAUUUGAACUUUCAUUAGUGGAUUUAUGGUUUAAUCUUAGGGAAUUUUGGAGAAACUUAGGUUCUGAUGCCAGAGUUUCAAUGUACCGAAGCCCUCCACUGCCUCAGAAGUAGAGGAAGGAAUUUUAAGAGCUCUUAAAUCCAUUACUUAAGAGCAGUGGCUCAAGGCUGUGGGCCUUAUAAUCAAAGAAACAAUGAGGAGGGUCCCUUUGGGGUGCAGUGUUCCUUGAAUGCCACAGUGCUGUCCUCUUCUGGUCAAGUCACAGCCCUGAGUCUUUUGAACCAAGAAGAAACUUAAAUAAAAGAUGUGCCAGUUCACAGCCAUGGUGGCAGGAUCCGUCUAGUCUGUAAGCAGAAAAUGGUGUGUGCUAACUUUUUAGAAAUUCUGGCAGCUUUCUGAUUGGAAAAACCUUGACAGCUUCCAGUGAGCAACCCUGAACUGGAGAGUAAUCCCUUGCUAAUGACAGACAGCUAAGUACACUACAAUAAUUGCCUUCUGUGUUUUCAUUUGUAUUUCAAAGAUCAAAUUCUCAUCGUACUAUCAAUUUUUUUCCUAUGUAUCUUUCACUCCUGUAGUAGUAAUUUUGUAGUAGUAAUUUGUAGUAGUUUUGUAGUAGUAACAGCUUGGGGUAGUAAUUAUGUGAUUGGCUAUAGAUACUUAAGCCAUUUGAUACUGUGGUAUGUAGAUUUUAAAGGAAAUGCCAUCAGAUGUCUUUCUGGGA